AUUAGAUGGAUUGUCUAUCGGGUAUGCGUUAGCAAUCCGAACGAGGGCAAUAUUCAUUAUAAGACAUAUUCAGCCCAAACUCGCCUCGAUCAGAUGCUGCUCAUCUGUGUUGGGAUACCCGUACGUAUCAACCAGCCCAUCCACCAAAACAGAUAGUUAUCUAAAGCUCUAGCUAGAUCGUGUACGACAGCCACGCACAUUGGUGUCACGCCACACAGGUGCGAAAAUUGUGACCAUGUUUUUGCUCAGAUUCAGCAGAUGGUGCAGCACAAAAAUACAUACAAACGACAAUCGACUUAAUAGUUUACAUUUUUGCCCAGCCUCUUUCGUUGAAGGCUCCACUAAGAGCAAGCAUCAUCGUGAUGUGUUUAUAUCAAUGUCAGUCUUCCUUUUACUAAUAUAUGGCAAUCAAAUAAUCG